UCUGUUCCUUUUUUUCCCUCAGCCGCGGUAAUACGUAGGCGGCAAGCGUUGUCCGGAAUUAUUGGGCGUAAAGGGAGCGCAGGCGGGAAACUAAGCGGAUCUUAAAAGUGCGGGGCUCAACCCCGUGAUGGGGUCCGAACUGGUUUUCUUGAGUGCAGGAGAGGAAAGCGGAAUUCCCAGUGUAGCGGUGAAAUGCGUAGAUAUUGGGAAGAACACCAGUGGCGAAGGCGGCUUUCUGGACUGUAACUGACGCUGAGGCUCGAAAGCUAGGGUAGCGAACGGG
rnacentral:rRNA from 1 species